rnacentral:rRNA from 1 species
UACGUAGGGGGCAAGCGUUGUCCGGAAUCAUUGGGCGUAAAGAGCGUGUAGGCGGCCCGAUAAGUCCGCUGUGAAAGUCCAGGGCUCAACCUGGGAAUUGCAUUUGAGACUGUGUAGCUAGGGUGCGGAAGAGGGAAGCGGAAUUUCCGGUGUAGCGGUGAAAUGCGUAGAUAUCGGAAGGAACACCAGUGGCGAAAGCGGCUUCCUGGUCCAGCACCGACGUUCAGGCACGAAAGCGUGGGGAGCAAACAGG